rnacentral:rRNA from 1 species
CACGUAGGGGACGAGCGUUGUCCGGAUUCAUUGGGCGUAAAGCGCGCGUAGGCGGCUCGGAAAGUCGGGCGUGAAAUGCCGGGGCUCAACCCCGGGACUGCGUCCGAUACUUCCGAGCUGGAGGUAGGUAGGGGAGAUCGGAAUUCCUGGUGUAGCGGUGAAAUGCGCAGAUAUCAGGAGGAACACCGGUGGCGAAGGCGGGAUCUCUGGGCC